rnacentral:lncRNA from 1 species
GCGUUUUGGCUGUUGCAAUUGGCCAAUUGCAGAGAUGCGGACGUUUUUAAUUGGAAGACCGAGAAUGGCAAUGUUGCGCCUUGCCCGUUCCUUCCAACUUCAAGAUGGCUGCUGGCAUUCGAGAAUCGAGAUACGACAGCAAGUGACAGUUCCCCAGAGUGAUGGAUCAUCUUGACUCCCGAGUCCUGAUUCAAGAUUUUCGUGGUGUUGUGGAAAGGAGAGCUACAGAUGGAAAUGCUAGAUGAGCAUAUUCAGCCUGCAUUUGCGUUUUCAAAAGAGUUCUUGCAAUUGUUCGAUGGUGGUUCUGUACUCCAGGUUUUGUGGUGUUGCGGAGAUUAAGAAUGGACAUGCUGUUUUAACUUUCUUUGAACUAUUUACAAAGCUGAAAAGGUUGAAGAAAAUUAAAUUGUGAAUAAAAUGUUGGGUCUUAAAUAGUGGUAAAUGUGUUAAAUAUCAGUUUGCAAAGGGAGAAUGUGUGAAAGUUUGAAAUUUGUUUCAGUUGAAUAAUUUUCCGGUUUUCGAUCUGAUGUCUAAAUAUGAUGCAUAUAAAAUGUAUUUUUUCAUCAAUAGUACAAGUUAUCUUCAGAGUACAAGCUGACAUCAGAGGAAUUUAAAUUCAUAUCUAUGUGAUUGUGUUUGAUUAGCUAAUGAUUGAAUAAAUGGAAUGCAAAUUAGA